UGCUACUUCCGAUCUGUGAAUGAGUGAAACUAAUGUGUUUCUCCUUUUUCUCUUACCUGUUCAUGUUAUAAUCUUUAUACUGGAUCUUCGUGUAGGAAGUUUUGGAUAACAAAGUCAGCUACAUAGAGGAUGCCAAUGUUGUCCUAACUCAUCAGGAGACUUCUCUUAAAGAAAGAUUAAGUGGGCUGCAGGAAACCAACAAAGCACCGCUGGAGCAGGAUGGCAAGAGUUGCGAAGAAAAACAUGUUGCCUACAGGGAUUGCAGCUAUGUUGUGGGGCAUUUC